rnacentral:sRNA from 1 species
GCAAUAGCGGCUUAAUGCGUAGGCGGUCGGCGGAAUCCCCUGGAAAGGGGGUGAUGCCAAUGGAAACGUUUCAAGCACUGCAAUUGAUGUUCCUUUUCGGAAUGUUCAUUCUGGCGCUUUUGACGUAUAUCCGUAAAAAAUAGAUCGCCUACCGUGGAAAGGUUAAACGCGACCUAUUUUUCGUGUUGACUUCCAAACUUAAAGCCGACCGCCAUAUAGCGCGGCUAUUGCAGGACCGUGGACGUUAGAGCGUCUGCG